rnacentral:SRP_RNA from 1 species
GAAGGUUGGCUGUGGACGUGUCACUCGCCAACCGGGUCAGGUCCGGAAGGAAGCAGCCCUAACGAAUUCGACGCGGGUCACCUGUCCAGCCUUCCAC